rnacentral:rRNA from 2 species
CUUAACGGCGUGCUAUAAUGCAAGUCGAGCGAACAGAUAAGGAGCUUGCUCCUUUGACGUUAGCGGCGGACGGGUGAGUAACACGUGGGUAACCUACCUAUAAGACUGGGAUAACUUCGGGAAACCGGAGCUAAUACCGGAUAACAUUUGGAACCGCAUGGUUCUAAAGUGAAAGAUGGUUUUGCUAUCACUUAUAGAUGGACCCGCGCCGUAUUAGCUAGUUGGUAAGGUAACGGCUUACCAAGGCGACGAUACGUAGCCGACCUGAGAGGGUGAUCGGCCACACUGGAACUGAGACACGGUCCAGACUCCUACGGGAGGCAGCAGUAGGGAAUCUUCCGCAAUGGGCGAAAGCCUGACGGAGCAACGCCGCGUGAGUGAUGAAGGGUUUCGGCUCGUAAAACUCUGUUAUUAGGGAAGAACAAAUGUGUAAGUAACUGUGCACGUCUUGACGGUACCUAAUCAGAAAGCCACGGCUAACUACGUGCCAGCAGCCGCGGUAAUACGUAGGUGGCAAGCGUUAUCCGGAAUUAUUGGGCGUAAAGCGCGCGUAGGCGGUUUCUUAAGUCUGAUGUGAAAGCCCACGGCUCAACCGUGGAGGGUCAUUGGAAACUGGGAAACUUGAGUGCAGAAGAGGAAAGUGGAAUUCCAUGUGUAGCGGUGAAAUGCGCAGAGAUAUGGAGGAACACCAGUGGCGAAGGCGACUUUCUGGUCUGUAACUGACGCUGAUGUGCGAAAGCGUGGGGAUCAAACAGGAUUAGAUACCCUGGUAGUCCACGCCGUAAACGAUGAGUGCUAAGUGUUAGGGGGUUUCCGCCCCUUAGUGCUGCAGCUAACGCAUUAAGCACUCCGCCUGGGGAGUACGACCGCAAGGUUGAAACUCAAAGGAAUUGACGGGGACCCGCACAAGCGGUGGAGCAUGUGGUUUAAUUCGAAGCAACGCGAAGAACCUUACCAAAUCUUGACAUCCUUUGAAAACUCUAGAGAUAGAGCCUUCCCCUUCGGGGGACAAAGUGACAGGUGGUGCAUGGUUGUCGUCAGCUCGUGUCGUGAGAUGUUGGGUUAAGUCCCGCAACGAGCGCAACCCUUAAGCUUAGUUGCCAUCAUUAAGUUGGGCACUCUAGGUUGACUGCCGGUGACAAACCGGAGGAAGGUGGGGAUGACGUCAAAUCAUCAUGCCCCUUAUGAUUUGGGCUACACACGUGCUACAAUGGACAAUACAAAGGGCAGCUAAACCGCGAGGUCAUGCAAAUCCCAUAAAGUUGUUCUCAGUUCGGAUUGUAGUCUGCAACUCGACUACAUGAAGCUGGAAUCGCUAGUAAUCGUAGAUCAGCAUGCUACGGUGAAUACGUUCCCGGGUCUUGUACACACCGCCCGUCACACCACGAGAGUUUGUAACACCCGAAGCCGGUGGAGUAACCAUUUAUGGAGCUAGCCGUCGAAGGUGGACAAAAUUU